UCAAGUUCAUUGGAAAAGUGAUCAAAGAAGAGUAUCUAACAGACUAAAGACAAUUACAACACAAUAGACAACAGCAGUGGCUUGCUUGAUAAGGAAA